rnacentral:rRNA from 1 species
GAUGAACGCUGGCGGCGUGCCUAACACAUGCAAGUCGAGCGAAGCACUUUGCUUAGAUUCUUCGGAUGAAGAGGAUUGUGACUGAGCGGCGGACGGGUGAGUAACGCGUGGGUAACCUGCCUCAUACAGGGGGAUAACAGUUAGAAAUGACUGCUAAUACCGCAUAAGACCACAGCACCGCAUGGUGCGGGGGUAAAAACUCCGGUGGUAUGAGAUGGACCCGCGUCUGAUUAGCUAGUUGGUAAGGUAACGGCUUACCAAGGCGACGAUCAGUAGCCGACCUGAGAGGGUGACCGGCCACAUUGGGACUGAGACACGGCCCAAACUCCUACGGGAGGCAGCAGUGGGGAAUAUUGCACAAUGGGGGAAACCCUGAUGCAGCGACGCCGCGUGAGCGAAGAAGUAUUUCGGUAUGUAAAGCUCUAUCAGCAGGGAAGAAA